GACGAACGCUGGCGGCGUGCCUAAUACAUGCAAGUUGAGCGAUGAAGAUUGGUGCUUGCACCAAUUUGAAGAGCAGCGAACGGGUGAGUAACGCGUGGGGAAUCUGCCUUUGAGCGGGGGACAACAUUUGGAAACGAAUGCUAAUACCGCAUAACAACUUUAAACAUAAGUUUUAAGUUUGAAAGAUGCAAUUGCAUCACUCAAAGAUGAUCCCGCGUUGUAUUAGCUAGUUGGUGAGGUAAAGGCUCACCAAGGCGAUGAUACAUAGCCGACCUGAGGGGGUGAUCGGCCACAUUGGGACUGAGACACGGCCCAAACUCCUACGGGAGGCAGCAGUAGGGAAUCUUCGGCAAUGGACGAAAGUCUGACCGAGCAACGCCGCGUGAGUGAAGAAGGUUUUCGGAUCGUAAAACUCUGUUGGUAGAGAAGAACGUUGGUGAGAGUGGAAAGCUCAUCAAGUGACGGUAACUACCCAGAAAGGGACGGCUAACUACGU
rnacentral:rRNA from 1 species